rnacentral:rRNA from 1 species
UACGAAGGGGGCUAGCGUUGUUCGGAAUUACUGGGCGUAAAGGGCGCGUAGGCGGCCUUCUAAGUCGAACGUGAAAUCCCCGGGCUCAACCCGGGAACUGCGUCCGAUACUGGAAGGCUUGAAUCCGGGAGAGGGAUGCGGAAUUCCAGGUGUAGCGGUGAAAUGCGUAGAUAUCUGGAGGAACACCGGUGGCGAAGGCGGCAUCCUGGACCGGUAUUGACGCUGAGGCGCGAAAGCCAGGGGAGCAAAGCGGG